CCUACGGGAGGCAGCAGUGAGGAAUAUUGGUCAAUGGCCGAGAGUCUGAACCAGCCAAGUAGCGUGAAGGAUGACUGCCCUAUGGGUUGUAAACUUCUUUUAUAAAGGAAUAAAACGAGGCACGUGUGCCUUUUUGCAUGUACUUUAUGAAUAAGGAUCGGCUAACUCCGUGCCAGCAGCCGCGGUAAUACGGAGGAUCCGAGCGUUAUCCGGAUUUAUUGGGUUUAAAGGGUGCGUAGACGGGUUGUUAAGUCAGUUGUGAAAGUUUGCGGCUCAACCGUAAAAUUGCAAGUGAUACUGGCAGUCUUGAGAAGAGUUGAGGUAGGCGGAAUUCGUGGUGUAGCGGUGAAAUGCUUAGAUAUCACGAAGAACCCCGAGUGCGAAGGCAGCUUACUAACCUGUGUCUGACAUUGAGGCACGAAAGUGUGGGUAUCAAACAGGAUUAGAUACCCCUGUAGUC
rnacentral:rRNA from 1 species